rnacentral:rRNA from 1 species
GCAGCGAAAUGCGAUACCUAGUGUGAAUUGCAGAAUUCCGCGAAUCAUCGAGUUUUUGAACGCAUAUUGCGCCCGAGGCUCGCGCCGAGGGCACGUCUGUCUGAGCGUCA